AAAAAACCAAACCCUGGAUUUUCGUGUCCAACUUUAACUGUCCGUCUUAUAUGAAAUUUUUUUAUAAUUCGUAUUUUCAUUGUUGUUAGAUGAUAAAACAUGAUUAAUAUUUUAUGCGUGACUUGUCUUUUUAAUUUUUUUAAAUAAGACGGACGGUUAAACGUUAGACACGGAAACAUGGUU
rnacentral:pre_miRNA from 1 species